GAUGAAGAACGUAGCGAAAUGCGAUAAGUAAUGUGAAUUGCAGAAUUCAGUGAAUCAUCGAAUCUUUGAACGCACAUUGCGCCCGCCAGUAUUCUCGCGGGCAUGCCUGUCUGAGCGUCAUUUCAACCCUCAUGCCCCUAGGGCGUGGUGUUGGGGAUCGGCCAAAGCCCGCGAGGGACGGCCGGCCCCUAAAUCUAGUGGCGGACCCGUCGUGGCCUCCUCUGCGAAGUAGUGAUAUUCCGCAUCGGAGAGCGAUGAGCCCCUGCCGUUAAACCCCCAACUUUCCAAGGUUGACCUCAGAUCAGGUAGGAAUACCCGCUGAACUUAAGCAUAUCAAUAAGCGGAGGA
rnacentral:misc_RNA from 1 species